UACAGAGGUGGCAAGCGUUGUUCGGAAUUACUGGGCGUAAAGGGCGCGUAGGCGGUUCGUUAAGUCCUGUGUGAAAUCCCCCGGCUCAACUGGGGAACUGCACAGGAAACUAGCGGGCUUGAGUUCGGGAGAGGGAAGCGGAAUUCCGGGUGUAGCGGUGAAAUGCUUAGAUAUCGUCCAGAACACCGAUAGCGAAGGCAGCUUACUAAGGAGUAACUGACGGCUGAGGCACGAAAGUGUGGGGAUCAAACAGG
rnacentral:rRNA from 1 species